rnacentral:rRNA from 1 species
UACGUAGGGUGCGAGCGUUAAUCGGAAUUACUGGGCGUAAAGGGUUUGUAGGCUGAAAUGUAAGUCAAGUGUGAAAUCCCCGGGCUCAACCCGGGACGUGCAUUUGAAACUGUGUUUCUUGAGUAUCGUAGAGGGUGGUGGAAUUGUAGGUGUAGGAGUGACAUCCGUAGAGAUCUGCAGGAACAUCAGAGGCGAAGGCGGCCACCUGGCCGAUGACUGACGCUGAGGAACGAAAGCGUGGGGAGCAAACAGG